rnacentral:rRNA from 1 species
UACGAGGGGGGCGAGCGUUGUUCGGAAUUAUUGGGCGUAAAGGGUGCGUAGGUGGCGCCGUAAGUCAGGGGUGAAAUCUCGGGGCUUAACUCCGAAACUGCAUUUGAUACUGCGGUGCUUGAGGACUGGAGAGGAGACUGGAAUUUACGGUGUAGCAGUGAAAUGCGUAGAGAUCGUAAGGAAGACCAGUGGCGAAGGCGGGUCUCUGGACAGUUCCUGACACUGAGGCACGAAGGCCAGGGGAGCAAACGGG